GGUUCAGGACGCGCACUGCACAAUUCCAGGAGGUACCAGUCGUACAGUAGAUCCUGGGAUUGGUACUCCCUGUGUUUGUGCAGUUCACAACAUCUGG
rnacentral:miRNA from 1 species